CGUGUAGGCGGUUCGGUAAGUUGGAUGUGAAAGCUCCCGGCUUAACUGGGAGAGGUCGUUCAAUACUGCCGAGCUAGAGGAUGGUAGAGGGAGGUGGAAUUCCGAGUGUAGUGGUGAAAUGCGUAGAUAUUCGGAGGAACACCAGUGGCGAAAGCGGCCUCCUGGACCAUUUCUGACGCUCAGACGCGAAAGCUAGGGUAGCAAACG
rnacentral:rRNA from 1 species